AGAGUUUGAUUAUGGCUCAGGACGAACGCUGGCGGCGUGCCUAACACAUGCAAGUCGAACGGAGUUAAUGAUUUCGGUUGUUAACUUAGUGGCGAACGGGUGAGUAACGCGUGAACAACCUGACCCAAAGAGGGGGAUAACAUUUGGAAACAGAUGCUAAUACCGCAUAAGACCACAACGUCACAUGGCGAAGGGGUCAAAGGAGCAAUCCGCUUUGGGAGGGGUUCGCGUCCCAUUAGGUAGUAGGCGGGGUAACAGCCCACCUAGCCAACGAUGGGUAGCCGAGCUGAGAGGCUGAUCGGCCACACUGGAACUGAGACACGGUCCAGACUCCUACGGGAGGCAGCAGUGGGGAAUAUUGGGCAAUGGGCGCAAGCCUGAACCCCAGCAACGCCGCGUGAGGGAAGAAGGUUUUCGGAUUGUAAACCUCUGUCGCAGAAGACGAAGGAAGUGACGGUAUUCUGUGAGGAAGCCCCGGCUAACUACGUGCCAGCCGCAGC
rnacentral:rRNA from 1 species